rnacentral:rRNA from 1 species
UACGUAGGGGGCAAGCGUUGUCCGGAUUUACUGGGCGUAAAGAGCGUGUAGGCGGCCAAGCAGGUCCGUUGUGAAACUAGGAGGCUUAACCUCCAGACGUCGACGGAAACCGCGUGGCUAGAGUCCGGAAGAGGAGAGUGGAAUUCCGUGGUGUAGCGGUGAAAUGCGCAGAGUAUCUGGAGGAAUACCGGUGGCGAAGGCGGCAUCCUGGACCAUUACUGACGCUGAGGCGCGAAAGCUAGGGGAG